GAGGGAGAGAAAUUCUGGGUCUAGAAAUUUUGAGCUUCUCUGUCUUCUCCAUCGGUCUUCCCCAUCCUUCCUUCUCUAAUGUUCUCCCCGUGUCACCGGCGAUCGUGGAUGCUCAGCACUGCCUUGCAAAAAUGCCCAGGUUCUCCAUGAUUCUUCUUAUCUCUGUUUUGUUUUCCUUGCUGUAUCUACGUUGUCGGUAUGCGUAAAAGGCUGAGUUUCUAGAGGCUGUAGACGGUUGGAAACGUCCUUCUUGUUCUUUUUCUGUCAGUGUGUCUCUGUAGGUGCUGCCAUUAGCGAGUCCUUCUUCAUGCUCUCUGCCUCUGUUCGUUUUCUUUUUCGUGCUGCUGUUCUAUCUUGCUGUGCACAUCUGGGUCGUUGGCUGAUGGAAGAAAUCAGGUCGCUGGAGUGGGUGUACUGAUCGCCAAUCUGAAUCAGCGCUGAGUUCGUUUUUCUUCUCUGAAGGAAGAGCUGAUAUGGUGCUGUGGAAGGAUUAAUUCGUGGGUUGAGGCAGAAAUAUUGCUAUAUUCUUCUUCCCCUGUUCAGUUGUGGAUUCAUUUUUCUUCCUCCCUCUGUGUGUGUGCACUGUCGGCUAACUAAGGAUGCUAAGAUAAAGGAAGAGUUGAUUGAAGUUCUAAGAAAUGAAUUUUGAUGCUCGGGCAUAUUAUAGAUAGCAUAAUUGACGCUGUACGUCUUGCUUACCAAUGAUGGAUGUUUUCGGAGUGGAGGCUUGCUCUGUAAUAUGUCUUAUUGAUGUAAAUAUGAAAUUUAUGUAUUAUGUCAUGAGAUAUAUGAUUAGGUGCUCCACAUAACUUAUAAUUAAAAUCCUUAGUUUAUUAUACAUUUUGUCUGCUGGCUUGAAAGAGCCGAGUUCUUGAUAGAUAUAACGUUUGAGGAAAAUUUUUAUGAUACAGAAUUUUGGUAGAUCUUAUUUACAGAGAAGGUUCUAUUAAAAUUUUUA